GGUUCCAUGGUCUAGUGGUCAAGACAUUGGAAUUUGAAUCCAAUAGACCGAGUCCAAAUCUUGGUGGAACCU
rfam:Picea glauca, whole genome shotgun sequence.